GAAAGGGUAGUUUAGGAAAAAUACUGUUUUUGUAAAACAGAGAUACUUGUUGAAAGUUUCUUUCA
rnacentral:tRNA from 1 species